rnacentral:lncRNA from 1 species
UGUCAUUGACCCAAAGGGUGAUCUCGUUGGGGUGCUCCACGGCUUCUUUUCUCAGUACAUCAAUUGUCUCACGGAUGCCCGGACCGUCACUUGUAUAGUACUCGGAGCAUCGGAACACGACCUUCUCAAGACUGUCGAGAUGCUUGAUGCCCAUGGAGUAGUGUUGCCUGGCUCUCUGCCGGUGUAGAACUUGAACUCAAGAUGUUUCAGCUUCGGCAUCGCUCCUUCCCCGAAGGUGAUCACCCAUGGCAGACGGCAAUCAACGUAGAACGUCUCCAGCUUCAAGAACCCUCCACCGGUGAUGGCAACCGGAUCCCGUACGUGGGAGGACCUCGAACCUUAGUUCGAGAGCCUGCAGGUUGGGCAUCUUCGUCUUCAGAAACUCGAGAUCUUCCUCCACCAGUUUGCAGAGACUGACAUCUAAGGUGCAGACAUUGCACAAGUCUUGCUUGAUCCACUGCGGGACUUUCAUGUGUCUCCCGGCAACUCUAAGCAACCGAACUGGUAGGACUUCACACCUAUCGCCGAAAUGGUUAAAGAGGAUGAGGAUGGAUAGGUCAUCCCUGCACUUUGCUUCAGAAGAGGAAAUAAUAACCUCUUCACCACCACUUGAGCUAAUGACACCCAGAGGCGACAUCAACUUCUCCGACCUAUGUUUACGUUCAUCAGCAACCACACUUAAUAACGGAUUCGGGUCUCUACAACUGGAUACCUCUUAUGUCCAGAGUCCUCAGAUGCUGCAGUUUCCCGAUUUCCUUAGGCAACUCUCUCAGUACCGGUGUCCAGCUUACAUCCAGAGUCUCCAAACGCUCAAGGUUCUUGGUUUCCGUUGGUAGUUUACUAAUCCGUGUACCUGCCACGUACAGGGACUCCAGAUUCUGCAGUCUCCCAAUCUCCCGUGGGAGCUCUGUGAUUUGAUGGCACUCGAAGAUACCCAGAUGCUUGAGCCAGAUCAGCCCACAUAUAUCCACCAGAUGAUCAUUCUCUAGACGACUGCUGUUAUGUAUUUGUAGCACUCGCAGCUUUUUGAACGCCUUGAAGGGGAGACCAUCCAGCUGGGAUUGAUAAACGGAAACAACAAGGGAGCGAGUAUGAGACAGCACAUCCUCAUCUGGACAGCGAUCCUCCGUGCUGAGAUAAAGACGACGGAUCUGUUUGGCAUGCGAGGAGUUGCCGGCCCGAUCCUUUGCUUUGCACACGAGGAAGGCUCGCAUAAUGGGGUGAACUGCGUGCAUCUUCCAAUCCCGCUGCAACAGAUUCCUGUAGACAAGCUUGUCAAAGUAAGCUUCUGCUACUUCAACUUGCGAAACAAAUCCUUCAGCAAUCCAUUUUGUCACCAACCAUCCCCUAUAAAUGCUAAAAUAUACCCCUGAGGAUAUAUGGUACAGUAUAGCAAGCAAGUCCUCAGCUGAACGGGAAGAUCGUCGAAACCAAGGCAUAGACUCUGGACCAGUGGUUUCAAGGAUGGAGUACUCAGAAACCCAUCAUCCAGAACGUGACUUGCCCAUGUAUCCCAUUCCUCCUCAUCACCUUGCACAUGGUGACGACAAACAGAUUACUGCUAGCGGACAAAAAUAAAAUGGUGGCCCGCUGCACAUAUCCGCAAUCUUGGUGGACAGCUCCUUCGCGUUGGUUCCCUCGACAGAUUUGCUCAUCAGUAUCAUAGCUGAUAGUCUUUCAGUUCCGCACGACCAAACUCCUGUUCGUACACACGUGCACCAAUUUGUUCACAUUUCCUAGCUAUACUCCUGUCCCGGGUCGUCAUGAUUAAUUUACAGCGCAGAUUAUUCUGGGGAAGAGCCUUACGGAUGACUUCCCAUUCUUCCCAGGGCCAAAUGUCAUCAAUUAUGACCAGGUCCCUACAAAAUAAAAACAAGACCAAAGAAACUUUAUAACAUUUUGGCCAUCUUAUCCCAUGUUACUAUUACAAAUUGAUUGCAAUGUUCAUACUAACAUGACCUACUAAAAAAAGAAUCAUAGAAAUUCCCAUAGACGACAUGCAGCCAUCAAUUUGGUAGUUAGCCUGGAUAACCAUAGGUACUGGGUCUAAUUUGUUUCUAAAUUAUUCAAUUCACGUCUGCCAUUAUAUGAAAGAGAAUAACAACUUUUCAUGCCGUUGCAAUAACGAAACAUUAUAAUCUAUCUACACAUUAUAAUGGCUAUCAAUCACCUGUGACAGUGUCCAAAUCCGUUGAAUCUUUUCCUCUUGCUCUAAAGGUGCUCAUACUCUGAUUAACGUGCACGAAAAACAACCACGAACUCUCUCCUGCCCGCUGCUAUUUUCGCAUCUCCAUCGCAAACCUCUGCGCGCACAGAGCUUGCAAGAGCAGGCCUCCGAAACAUCGUCUUGCUGCUACACUUGCACGAGUAGGCGCCUCCGAAACAUCGUCUUGCUGCUACACUUGCACGAGUAGGCGCCUCCGAAACAUCGUCUUGCUGCUACACUUGCACGAGUAGGCAGGGGAUCAAGUUUUUGGGGAGCGCAUCUCUGCGCGACUGCUCGCUGUGAACGUCUACAUCCUGCUACUUCUCGGAGGAUGUUCGAGGGACUGCACUGCACCAAAUCAUCACUACAUCAACUUUGAUCGACUACAUCGAACAGCCCAAACCGAAGAUUUAGGAACAAUGUCUGAUUCUUACAUUCUGAACCUUCUCUGGUUCUUUUAUUUCAUUUUGUUCAUUAUUAAAUUUGUGUUAACCAUGAACACUCGCACAUGCUCUGAAUCACUCACAAUAUUCAUGAUUUACUUAAUAAUAUUCGGAAUUAAGAUAUACGUAAAUUGUCUAAAUUUCUAACAUAAGCCCCCCAAUUCAACUAAAACGGGCACAUGCCUUUGGUUCUCCCCAUAACCCUAAUGGCAGGCGCUCUAGUCGCAGCAGCAGCAAAUCCCCACCGGCAGCGACCAACCCAUAAACCCUAAACCCUCAUGGUUGUGGAGCACCAAUGGAAUUCCAUGGAAGCACGACAGCGAAAUGGGGAUACGAGGAAGUAGGGGAAGCAGUUGCUACCUCGCGCCGUCGCGGCGACCAUGGCAUCGCGCUCGGAGCUGAAACCGGGAUGGCACGGGCGCCGGUGGUGGGUAGCGCGCGGUGGCCGCCAGUGGGUAGGGCAGGGGUGGCGGAUGGCGACGGCGGAGGCAGAGAGGAGUGGAGUGAAAAAGCAGAGCGGUGAGAGAAAGUGAGACUACGAAGGCCGAGGACCACCUGGUACUUGCAGCCCAAUGAAAACGAGUUAAUUACGCGCCAGCCAUUAUAAAUCCAUUUAUUGCCCUUUGAAAAAUUGGUUGCGCACCCAACUUUUUUAUUGCCCUUGGUGCCAUUUUCGUCACUUCCGUUACUGUAACUUGCCGUUAGAACUCAGAUUUUUAUGGAAAAAAUAGCCAAAGUACCCCUCUUACAGGCGGGGCCUACUCGGAAGGCUCAACGAAAACCAAUAGGUCUUCCCUUCCCAACCUCUGUUCCCACCAUCCUUCUCUCUGGCGCCCCUGAACGGGAGCUCGAUGAGGGGCAAGUGCAGUUUAUUUUAUUUUUUUCUUUGAAAGAGGGAUCGGAUCCGCAGCUUUCCGUGGUGAGCACUAGAGACGGCGAGCUCAUCAGGUGGGGUCAUGGCUGCAAGCAGUGACGAAGUUAGAGCAAAUUAGAGGGGGGUACGCUUGCCUUGUGGGUGUAUAGAGUUGAAAUGUUAUGGAUGCAUAUAUGGUGAAAAAUUGACCUUAAUCAUUGUUUUGCAUUUUUGUUGUGGGUGCAUUUGCACCCCCCUAAUCCUAACGUAGCUUCGCCCCUGGCUGCGAGGCUGGGGAGGUGGCGACGGACCGAGGGAAGCGGCGCUCGGAAGGCUCGAGAAACUUAGAUGUUGUGGUUAGCCUGAUCAAAAUCCAACGGGUUGUAAUAAAAGGGAAUAUAUAUCCCAAAGGGUUAUAAACAAAUGAAUGAUGCACUAGCUGUGUCACUGCACAAGAACACUGGAUAACGAAAGUGUCAAACUAAUGGAUGUAGCACAUGGGGACCGUCAAGCUGUGCACCUAAAUUAAUUUCAUCUGAUGAGGAGGCAGGAAGAAUUACCUGAAACCUUUAAUUUGACCUUUUCGGUACCUCAUGACGAACGAUCUCCUGAGGGCUAGCUUUAACGAAGAAUCCAAGAUCAUUGCGUUUUUUAUCUUUCUAAACGAAUUCGAUCUGGUCUCAGCAGGCUCCAGCGCACUAGAUACAAAUCCGAGAUGGGAGCUCAGCUCUGUCCCAUUCCAUGUCAAGGCAGAGUGCUCUGCAUCAGCAUCUGCACCACCAUUUUCCCUUCCACUCCUGAUGAGUGCAGUGCAGGAUGCUAGGUGUAAUCCGGUCAUGCUUUCCUCGAUCGAGGAGCGCCAUCUUGCAAAUCGAAUAAUCGAUAGACCCAUUCCGAUUAACCAAAGUGCUUAAUUAUCUGAUUGCGACAAGUUGAAUAAUUGCGCUGUCUUUUUUUUAUUAGAUUAGUCUUUUACCAAGGUGCAACGUACUAGCUUGCUUAUAUGGAUCAGUACACAGUAUUUUGAUGAGCAGGUAAAUAUGCAAAACAGAAAAGCAUAGACGCGGCCGCACGCGUCAUCUUCUUCUGCGACCCGGUGCAGAGAGAGUUUCAUUCUUGGAUUGGCGGGUGGCCCUGUUCACUCAGGUGGAGAUGGCCAGGCCCAGGCCCAGGCCCACUUCAUAGGAGAACUUAUUUUGGCCCAUUUCAACUCCUUGUCUCAUCCAAUCCCUCCAACAACAGAUAGGAUUCGCACAUUGCAGCCAUGCCUAGAGCAAAACCAAACAUAAGCCAUUUUUUAAUUUAACCUUUUUAAUAAUAUUUUAAAAACUACCCCUCCAGACAAAUAUUUUCAUCCCGUGACACUUUUGAUCGCGUCAGUCCGUGUGUCACAACAAGAUAACACUAUCACGCAAUAUGCAUUGGUGUGAUGAGCCUGCCAUGCUAACAAGGGGAGAUGACAUGAACUCCUCUUGUCACGCCAACGCAUGCGGCGCGAGAACAUGAUUCUGCCACGCCAACUUGCCUCGGUGAUGAGUGGCAUGUACAAUUCAAUUUAUCCAAUUUGACCAUCUAAAUAAAAAAGUAUUUCAACAUUAAAUUCUACGAAACUCGGCAUGCACGGUGUAUAUGGUGUGGACGUUCCAUUUUAGUAACAUGCACAAUGCAAAGUGCCAUAUAUUUUGAAAUUUUUAAUUUCAAAGUAGGCUUAUAUCCCACUUAGGGUUCUAGUUAAAUAAACCUACUUGGGAGCAUCUCAAUAAAAUAGCGUUUGAACUUUGAAUGUGAAGCACACUAUAUAGGGUAUAGUGUAAAGGUCCCAUUUUACUAAUAUUUAUAAGAUCAAAUGCUACAUAUUUUGAAAUACAUAAUUUAAAUGUAAGUUAUUUAUUGUCCCUCUAUCCCUCUUAGAACAGCUUCCAAGUGUUAAAUAAAUUCACUUUGAUUUUUUCUUUCCUUAGUUUAUUACUUAAUGAACUUUAAAUAUUCUAAAACUCUAUUUAAUACGGAAGCAAAUAAUUAACAGAACUGAAUUACUAGCGUGAAUCAUACUCAUAUGGCAACUUUUAUCUGAAAAAAUGUUGGAAUGAUUGGAUGGAUUAGUUGCUAGGAGUGUUCAGUGUGCGCAUGCAUGGUGCAAGCUUGGACUGCAUGUGACGAAGAGAAACUAAACUGGAAAAAUAAUCAUAAUCAAGUGUGCGUACAGAUAAUGUCACAUAGAGUCAUGGAGAAGGAAGGUCCGAAUUUGAUAAAUAGUUAUAGUAGCGCAAUUGUUCCCUCAAUCGUCGUUCCCUGAUUUCAAGAUUGCGUUUCCUUUCUUGAAUUUCCUUUUCAAUUCCAGCCCUUGCGUUGUUUUUGUCCCGCUGAGCUCGCCCCUCUGCUGCCGUCGAUAGUCGAAGACGUUGUUCCUCAAUGCGUUUUUGUUUCCGCAUUUUCUCAACUACUUUUUCCCUUUUCUCAAUUUCUUUUUCCCAUUCUUCAAAUUCACCGCUGCGGAAAACCUUACAUUCCAUUUUAUUGACCCAAAGGGUGAUCUUGUUGGGGUGCUCCGCGGCUUCAUUUCUCAGUACAUCAAUUGCCUCGCAGAUGCCCGGACUGUCACUUGUAUAGUACUCGGAGGAUCGGAACACGACCUCCUCAAGACUGUCGAGAUGCUUGAUGCCCAUGUAGUAGUCUUGACUUGCUGUGCCGGUGUAGAACUUGAACUCAAGAUGUUUCAGCUUCGGCAUCGCUCCUUCCCCGAAGGUGAUCACCCGUGGCAGACGGCAAUCAACGUAGAACGUCUCCAGCUUUGAGAACCCUCCAUCAGUGAUGGCAACCGGCUCCUGUGGGAGGACCUCGAACCUGAGUUGGAGAGCCUGCAGGUUGGGCAUAUGCAUCUUCAGAAACUUGA